rnacentral:lncRNA from 1 species
UAUUCCCAGCUAUUCCCGGCCAUUCCCGGCCAUUCCCGGCCGUUCCCGGCCGUUCCCGGUUAUUCCCAUCCCGGUAAUUCCCCCAUCCCGCGCUGCAGCUCCCGGGUUUGUCCUUCCCGGGUAUUUUUAGCUGCGGUUCCAGCCGGGAAAGCGCCCGGAGGAAGAGCCGGGUCCCGCCGCCCCUCUUGGGCUCAUCCGGCUGAACAAUGGCCCGGAGAGGCUGGAAAAUGUUCCCGUUUCCCGGGCAGGGCCGGGCAGGCUCUUGGAGAGCUCCUGUCCCCUCGCUGCCACCCCCGGUGUCACCCGCGGGGUCACCCCGGCCUGCUGGGACAGGUCACGUCGCCCCCAGAGCCAGAUUCCCUGCGGGGAUUUCGGGAUUGUCCCCAAAUCUGUGUCCCCAACCCCAUGAGGAAUGUGAGGGGAGGGGACAGGCACCCGAAGCCACCCCAGGAGCGUGGGGACAGCGUGGGGACAGCUUGGGGACAGCGUGGGGUGACCUGGAGCUCUCCUGUGCUCCUCAUGGCGGAGUCACCCCUUCAGGCAUUUCGGGAUUGUCCCCAAAUCCAUGAAAUCCGUGUCCCCACCCCUCCAAGGAACGUGAGAGGCACAAAGCCACCAGGACCCAAAGCCACCUCGAGCAUGGGGACACCGUGGGGUGACCUGGGGCUCUCCUGUGCUCCCCACACUCAGGACAAGCCGGGGGUUCCAGGAUUGUCCCCAAAUCCGUGUCCCCACCCUUGUGAGGAAGAUGAGAAGGGGACCCAAGGCCACCAAGGCCAGCUUGGGGACACGGGGUGACAAUGCGCCAGAGGAGCAGGAGGGCUCUGAGGAGCCGGGGGCUGGGUGGGCGCUGUCCCCACGUGUCCCCUGUCCCCAGGCCAGCCUGGAGGCCAAUGUCACCGCGCUGGGGACCGAGCUGGUGGCGCUGCGGCGCGAGCGGGCCGAGCUGGCGGGUGACAAAGUGGCGCUGCAAGGUGAGCUCUGUCCUCCCGAGCCGGGACAGCCGGCGGGGUGCGGGGUGCGCCGGGCCCGGGGUGACGCCGCUGUCGCCGCUGUCCCCAGAGGAGGUGGCGCGGGGCGCGGAGCGGGCGCGGAGGCUGCAGGAGGAGCUGGAGCAGCUGCGGGAGCUGCGGGAGCGCCGGGAGCGCUGCGAGGCGCGACACCGGGAGCUCCAGGACACCCUCCGGGACUGCGCGGCCGAGGUGGAGGCGCUGCGGCGGCGGGGGAGGGACAGAGGCAGCGGGCGCAGGUGUCCCCCGGCCCGGUACUCGGUGGGGGGACCCGGGGAGGGGGACAGCCCGGGGAGGGGGGACAUCCAGGAGAAGGGGACAUCCCGGGAAAUGGGGACAUCCCGGGGAGGUGGCACAAUCCACGGACUGGGAAAUCCCGCAAGGGGCGACAUCCUGGCGAGAGGGGACAUCCGGAGGAGAGG